rnacentral:sRNA from 1 species
GUUCAAUGGGAGAAACGCUUCUGUCAAAGGGGGAUAUUCUUUCGACUCCUGUAUUUACUGAUGUUCAAGAUUUUCGCCUUCGACGAUUAAUCAAUCAGCUUCUAGCAGGUCCCCUUCAUCCCACCUGCAUUUCUCCCAAAACGUUAGGACUCUAUUUGUAGGACGUUUCUUACGCCCCCAAAUUGGGUGUUACAAAUGGAGAAACUCAAAAUCACGUGCCUCGAUAUGUAUAUAUCGUCGUAUGUACUUUUAUAAUCUUACG